rnacentral:rRNA from 1 species
ACCUGAUAUCAGGCAAG